rnacentral:rRNA from 1 species
CCUACGGGCGGCAGCAGUGAGGAAUAUUGGUCAAUGGGCGCGAGCCUGAACCAGCCAAGUAGCGUGAAGGAUGACUGCCCUACGGGUUGUAAACUUCUUUUAUAAAGGAAUAAAGUGAGGCACGUGUGCCUUUUUGUAUGUACUUUAUGAAUAAGGAUCGGCUAACUCCGUGCCAGCAGCCGCGGUAAUACGGAGGGUCCGAGCGUUAUCCGGAUUUUUUUGGUUUAAAGGGAGCGUAGGUGGGUUGUUCAGUGAGGUGUGAAAGUUUGCGGCUCAACCGUAAAAUUGCAGUUGAUACUGGCAGCCUUGAGUGUAGUUGAGGUAGGCGGAAUGCGUGGUGUAGCGGUGAAAUGCUUAGAUAUCACGCAGAACUCCGAUUGCGAAGGCAGCAUACUAAACUGCAACUGACAUUGAUGCACGAAAGCGUGGGUAUCAAACAGGAUUAGAUACCCGGGUAGUC